UACGGAGGGAGCUAGCGUUGUUCGGAAUUACUGGGCGUAAAGCGCACGUAGGCGGCUUUGUAAGUUAGAGGUGAAAGCCCGGGCUCAACUCCGGAAUUGCCUUUAAGACUGCAUCGCUUGAAUCCGGGAGAGGUGAGUGGAAUUCCGAGUGUAGAGGUGAAAUUCGUAGAUAUUCGGAAGAACACCAGUGGCGAAGGCGGCUCACUGGACCGGUAUUGACGCUGAGGUGCGAAAGCGUGGGAGCAAACAGGAUUGAGAA
rnacentral:rRNA from 1 species